GAUAUAAAAAUCUCCUGCUUUCGUUAAGGCCUUCAAAUACCUCAUAAGGUGUGCUUUGUGCCUUUCGUAUUGCACAUAUAUAGGAUAACGCUUGCGCUUCCCUACAUUCAACCUGUCGAUCAACCUUCGUCGAUCUGGACAUGAUCCAACGUUUUGCAGCUUUUCUCUACCACUUGCUUGUGGGAUACAAAAACGUAGAUCAAUUCGACCUGGGGUACACCUGUCUCGCAACGCGCAUGGUAUUUGUUUCAACAACAAAUUGUACUGUGCUGCUAAUGGAUUGUAUUCGGCUUUUACGGUUUUCACUGCCGAUACUGCAAGCUGUCCAUCUCAAUCUGUUUCUCUCCGUCGUGUGCUUGGCGAUGCUGUCGAUCUUGGGUGGUGCCGUCAAUUCGGUGGGAUGUGUUCCGGUCAACAACUUCAACUCCCCUUUCAGGGAAGGCAGAGUCAACAUUCCCUGAAAGUGAGUAAAAGUUUGGGUUAAUGAUAUAACGGAAAGUUCUUGAGACGGCAAACUUAGCUUUAUGUUGCUACGAGUGUGGAUGCUGAGUUGCUGCUGAGGAUGA